CCUACGGGGGGCAGCAGUAGGGAAUCUUGCGCAAUGGGCGAAAGCCUGACGCAGCCAUGCCGCGUGAAUGAUGAAGGUCUUAGGAUUGUAAAAUUCUUUCACCGGGGAAGAUAAUGACGGUACCCGGAGAAGAAGCUCCGGCUAACUUCGUGCCAGCAGCCGCGGUAAUACGAAGGGGGCUAGCGUUGCUCGGAAUUACUGGGCGUAAAGGGCGCGUAGGCGGAUAUCUAAGUCGGGGGUGAAAGCCCAGGGCUCAACCCUGGAACAGCCUUCGAUACUGGAUAUCUUGAGUACGGGAGAGGUGUGUGGAACUCCGAGUGUAGAGGUGAAAUUCGUAGAUAUUCGGAAGAACACCAGUGGCGAAGGCGACACACUGGCCCGUUACUGACGCUGAGGCGCGAAAGCGUGGGGAGCAAACAGGAUUAGAUACCCGAGUAGUC
rnacentral:rRNA from 1 species